UGCAGUCGAGCGGAAGGCCACUUCGGUGGUACUCGAGCGGCGAACGGGUGAGUAACACGUGAGUAAUCUGCCCUCCACUUUGGGAUAGCCACCGGAAACGGUGAUUAAUACCGGAUAUGACCUCGCAUCGCAUGAUGUGUGGUGGAAAGUUUUUCGGUGGGGGAUGUGCUCGCGGCCUAUCAGCUUGAUGGUGGGGUAAUGGCCUACCAUGGCUUCGACGGGUAGCCGGCCUGAGAGGGUGACCGGCCACACUGGGACUGAGACACGGCCCAGACUCCUACGGGAGGCAGCAGUGGGGAAUAUUGGACAAUGGGCGGAAGCCUGAUCCAGCAACGCCGCGUGAGGGAUGACGGCCUUCGGGUUGUAAACCUCUUUCAGCACAGACGAAGCGAAAGUGACGGUAUGUGCAGAAGAAGCACCGGCCAACUACGUGCCAGCAGCCGCGGUAAUACGUAGGGUGCGAGCGUUGUCCGGAAUUAUUGGGCGUAAAGGGCUCGUAGGCGGUUUGUCGCGUCGGGAGUGAAAACACACAGCUUAACUGUGUGCUGGCUUCCGAUACGGGCAGACUAGAGGUAUGCAGGGGAGAACGGAAUUCCUGGUGUAGCGGUGAAAUGCGCAGAUAUCAGGAGGAACACCGGUGGCGAAGGCGGUUCUCUGGGCAUUACCUGACGCUGAGGAGCGAAAGUGUGGGGAGCGAACAGGAUUAGAUACCCUGGUAGUCCACACCGUAAACGUUGGGCGCUAGGUGUGGGGCCUAUUCCAUGGGUUCCGUGCCGCAGCUAACGCAUUAAGCGCCCCGCCUGGGGAGUACGGCCGC
rnacentral:rRNA from 1 species